UACGUAGGGUCCAAGCGUUGUCCGGAUUUAUUGGGCGUAAAGAGCUCGUAGGCGGUUCGGUAAGUCGGAUGUGAAAACUCCGGGCUCAACUCGGAGACGCCACUCGAUACUGCCAUGACUCGAGUCCGGUAGGGGAGUGCGGAAUUCCUGGUGUAGCGGUGAAAUGCGCAGAUAUCAGGAGGAACACCGGUGGCGAAGGCGGCACUCUGGGCCGGUACUGACGCUGAGGAGCGAAAGCGUGGGGAGCGAACAGG
rnacentral:rRNA from 1 species